AAUCAUGAAUUAUAGGACUGAUCUGGAAAUUUUGGUUUAAUUUCACCAAGUCACGAUCGGGUUUUUGACGCGAUAUGUGAAUUAAUUGUUUAACGAGCAAAUUUGAUAUUGAACUGAGCAAAUGAGCUCCAAAUUCAGUUUUGUUUGAACCACUAGAUCCGUAUCGAAAUUAUGGAGUCAUAGGAAAAAGAAUCGUCGAAUUCCGAAUUCGUAUGAUGAAGUUAUUGCAUUUUUAGUGAAUAAAAAGCUGCUGAAAAAUUUCUGGGCAAAAGCUGGUAUUUUCGCUUCUGCGGUGAACAGUACCCGCAGAAGCAGGUGAACAGUGACUUUCCGCUUCUGCGAUGAACAGUGCCGCAGAAGCGAUGAACAGUAACCGCUUAGGCGAAAAUUUCUGGAUUUUUAUUUCCGGGCAGUCCGAGAGUUUUCUCAUUUUUAAAAGCUAGGGAGCUCGGAUUGAGACGAUUUUUGGAGCAAAAUGAAGAGGGUUUCGAUGGGAAUUGAUUGGAGAUUCUACGUGCGAAGAGGCGAAUUCGCGAGGAAAGGGCAAAGCGGAGUAGACUUUGGACUACAUUGAGAUAUAGGUAGAGCUGAUACGGCACCUGAGCGUUGAUUGCAUCCAGUCAGGACUGUGUCGAGGAGUGACGAGGUAGCUGUUGACGUCCGCAGCCCCGUUUUCUCCCUUAUACUUUGUCAUUUCAGUUAUUCCAGACUUGUAAAUAUUUAUAUUCUCUGUAGUAGCUCAUGACUUGUGACACCCCGAUUACGGGCUGAGUCGGGAUGGGUUUUGUUAUACUAUCAUGCCUAAAAUGCUUUUGGAAAUAUAUUACAUGUCGUUUAAGUAUUUGAGUUAUGCAUUUUGAGGUUGGCUUGCCUUGUCUUCACGAGAGGCGCCCUCACGACCAGGGUUGGUAUUUUGGGUCGUGACACACUGUCUCGUCAACGACCUCCUAGCACCACCGGCGACAGUCCGUCGACCACCCCAGUUGCUGCUUCAUCGAGUUGCUGCCCUAGCUGCUCGUUUCUACUCUUGCUUCAUCCAUUUUCGUCUUAACAAACAGUCCAUUUAUCUCCAAGAGUUUAAAUCCGAGUCGAGUUUGAAUUCGUUUCAUUUUUGAA